UAGGGAAUAUUGCACAAUGGGCGAAAGCCUGAUGCAGCAACGCCGCGUGCGCGAUGAAGGCCUUCGGGUCGUAAAGCGCUUUUUGGGGAGAUGAGGAAGGACAGUAUCUCCAGAAUAAGGCUCGGCUAACUACGUGCCAGCAGCCGCGGUAAAACGUAGGAGCCAAGCGUUAUCCGAAUUCACUGGGCGUAAAGCGCGUGCAGGCGGUCUGAUAAGUUGGAUGUGAAAUCUCCCGGCUCAACUGGGAGAGGCCGUACAAUACUGUUGGACUAGAGGGCGACAGAGGAAGGUGGAAUUCCCGGUGUAGUGGUGAAAUGCGUAGAUAUCGGGAGGAACACCAGUGGCGAAGGCGACCUUCUGGGUCGCACCUGACGCUAAGACGCGAAAGCUAGGGUAGCAAACGGG
rnacentral:rRNA from 1 species